rnacentral:misc_RNA from 1 species
AGCAGCCGCGGUAAUUCCAGCUCCAAUAGCGUAUAUUAAAGUUGUUGCAGUUAAAAAGCUCGUAGUUGAAUUUCGGGAUCAAUUAAUUGGUCGUGCCUCUGGUACGUACUGAUUUUAUUGGUUUCUCCUUCUGACGAACCAUGAUGUCAUUAAUUUGGUGUCGUGGAGAAUCAGGACUGUUACUUUGAAAAAUUAGAGUGUUUAAAGCAAGCUAACGCUUGAAUACAUUAGCAUGGAAUAAUGAAAUAGGACGUUUGAUCCUAUUUUGUUGGUUUCUAGGAUCGACGUAAUGAUUAAUAGGGAUAGUUGGGGGCAUUAGUAUUCAAUUGUCAGAGGUGAAAUUCUUGGAUUUAUUGAAGACUAACUACUGCGAAAGCAUUUGCCAAGGAUGUUUUCAUUAAUCAAGAACGAAAGUUAGGGGAUCGAAGACGAUCAGAUACCGUCGUAGUCUUAACCAUAAACUAUGCCGACUAGGGAUCGGAUGAUGUUAAUUUUUUAAUGACUCAUUCGGCGCCUUAAC